AUGCAAGGUAAACUAUACCUGCUGCUUCUUGGAACCAUAACUCUUAGUCUGUUGAUCGUCGCAUUGUAUUUUUUAUCAUUGAAAGAACGAGGGAUCUUCGAUGAUUCUCGUCAUCGCGGAACAAGGGAGCUUGGAAACCAUCAUUUUUGUGGGUUGUUAUUUGGUUUGUUUGGGGCUGUGUUACAUAUCAGUAUGAUUAGUGGUACAACCAUAGGAGAUAUCAGAAAGCACGAGGAAUAA